rnacentral:rRNA from 1 species
AGCACGUAGGUGGGUUUGUAAGUCAGAUGUGAAAGCCUCCUGUUCAACGGGAGAAUUGCAUCUGAAACUACUGAUCUUGAGUGUAGGAGGGGAGAAUGGAACUUCUGGUGGAGCGGUGAAAUGCGUAGAUAUCAGAAGGAACGCCGGCGGCGAAAGCGAUUCUCUGGCCUAUUACUGACACUCAGUGUGCGAAAGCUAGGGGAGCAAACGGGAUUAGAUACCCCGGUAGUCCUAGCCGUAAACGAUGGGCACUAAGUAGAGGGG